rnacentral:rRNA from 1 species
GACGAACGCUGGCGGCGUGCUUAACACAUGCAAGUCGAGCGGUAAGGCCCUUUCGGGGGUACACGAGCGGCGAACGGGUGAGUAACACGUGGGUGACCUGCCCUCAGCUCUGGGAUAAGCCUGGGAAACCGGGUCUAAUACCGGAUAUGACUCCAUGACGCAUGUUGUGGGGUGGAAAGCCUUGUGCGGCUGAGGAUGGGCCCGCGGCCUAUCAGCUUGUUGGUGGGGUGAUGGCCUACCAAGGCGACGACGGGUAGCCGGCCUGAGAGGGCGACCGGCCACACUGGGACUGAGACACGGGCCCAGACUCCUACGGGAGGCAGCAGUGGGGAAUCUUGGCGCAAUGGGCGAAAGCCUGACGCAGCG